CAAGUACUCCCUCCGUCUUAAAAUUCUUGUCUUAGAUUUGUCUAGAUACGGAUGUACCUAAUACUAAAACGUGACUUGAUACAUCCGUACUUAGACAAAUCUAAGACAAGAAUUUUGGGACAGAGGGAGUACAAG
rnacentral:pre_miRNA from 1 species